UAAAGAGACUAUUUCCUGCUACUGGAGGGCUAAAAAUGCUGAGAAUUGAGCCCAGGGCAUAAUUAGAGAAAAUUAUGAACUCUCAGUCCUGGUCAGUUUAGCUCCCUCUGUGGGGACAGAGGCUCCCUGAAGCUUGGAAUGGGUUCGUCUGAAGGGAAGCACCCAGGUGCCCAGCCGCCACUGACUUGCAAGGCAAUGGCCACCCUCAGGGCCAGCCACCUGCUCCUGGUCACACCCGAACUUGAGACUACACUUGGCUGGGGAGGCAUUGGGCUUAGUAAGAAAGGGCAGGGACCAAAUUCUAAAGAAGCUGCAGGACUUGGCCAAGGUGACUAGGAAGAGCGAGUCAGAGAGAGUUGUGCGUGUGCACGUGUGUGUGGCAGGCCUGAGGGUCCUGGGACAAGGUAGGGAGGGGGUAGAACAUAAAGUUGGAUAAAGUAGAGUUUAUUUUUAUUUAUUUAUUUACUUAUUUAUUUGAGACAGGGUCUUGCUCUGUUGCCCAGGCUGGAGUGCAGUGGUGCGAUCAUGGCUCACUGCAGCCUUGACUUCAAAGCAGUCCUUCCACCUCAGCCUCCUGAGUUGCUGGGGCUACAGGCAUGUGCCAGCAUCACGGGCUAACUUUUUCUAUUUUUUGUAGAGAUGGGGGUCUCACUAUGUUGCCCAGGCUGCUGUGAGAACACUCUUCUAAGAUACAGGAUAUAACAUCCUAGAAAGAGCCCAGGAGGUGGGGCCAACAUGCUGCCUGUGUAGCCCCUGGAGGCUUGGAGAAAGCAUGGCCCUCUCUAAGCAGAGGUGCCAACAUUGCUGUGGCAGCCAGGGACAUCCGACCUUCCCAGAGCUGUGGAGGUGGCGAAUUGAGCAGGUUAUUCCUGUGGCCAAGGAGGAGAACAGCCCACAAAGUCAUUGCUUAAUCUACACAACCAAAAGAAAUCCAAGAUGGGAGAUGGAGGCUGAGGGCAGCUACCCCAGUGAAAAACUUCAGACCAGACCCCAGUGCCUGAAGGAGAGGCUGGGUUUCCAGGAGGAACAACUCCUUCACGGCAGUGAACGGAGUUUCAUACUUGUUGCCCAGGCUGGAGUGCAAUGGCACAAUCUUGGCUCACCACAAACUCUGCCUCCCAGAUUCAAGUGAGCUCUGUCACCCACGCUAGAGUGCAGUGGCAUGAUCGUAGCGUACUGCAACCUCCACCUCCUGGGCGCAAGAAAUGCUCCCACCUCAGCCUCCUGAGUAGCUGGGACUACAGGUGUGCACCACCACGCCCGGCUACACCACGCCUGGUCUUGAAUUCCUGGGCUCAAGGAGUCCUCUUGCCUCAGGCUACCAAAGUGCUGGGAUUAUAGGUGACAGCCACCGCACUCGGCCAAAAUUGGAAGAAUAUAUAUAUAUAUAUACCCGGUGAAAUAAUCACCACAAUCAAAAAAAUGACUACAUCCAUCACUGAAAACUUUCCUUAUGCCCUUCUGUGAUCCUUUUCUCCCUCCCCCAAGGACCCCUUGGAGAGGCAAGGCAAUGCCACAGGCAAGCACUGAUCUGCUUUCUGUUUGAUUCAUUUGCGAUUUCUAGAAUUUUAUAUAGAUGGAAUCAUACAAUGUGUACUCUUUUGUCUGGCUUCUUUCCAUUAGCAUAAUUAUUUUGAGAUUUAUCUGUAGUGAUGUGAAUAUCAAUAGUUUAUUAUUAUUUUUUCUUUUUUUCUUUUUUAGACAGGGUCUUGCUCUGUCACCCAGGUUGGAGUGCAGUUCAUUCUUUUAAAAUUGCUAAACAGUAUUCCAUAGCAUGGAUGUGCCAUAAUUUAUGCAUUCUUCUUUUUUUUUUUUUUUUGCCCCCGAGAUGGAGUCUUGCUCUGUUGCCCAGUGGCUCUAUCUCAGCUCACUGCAACCUCCGCCUCCCGGGUUUAAUCGAUACUCCUGCCUCAGCCUCCCGAGUAGCUGGGAUUACAGGCACAUGCCACCAUGUGCCGCUAAUUUUUGUAUUUUUAGUAGAGGUGGAGUUUCACCAUGUUGGCCAGACUGGUCUUGAACUCCUGACCUCAUGAUCCGCCCACCUCAGCCUCCCAAAGUGCUGGGACUACAGGGAUGAGCCACUGUGCCUGGCUGCAUUCUUCUGUUGAUGGACACUUGGGUUGUUUCCAG
rnacentral:lncRNA from 1 species